rnacentral:rRNA from 1 species
AUGGAAACUCAUUGCUUUGCCAAGCUGCGGAGCAUACACCUAUACUCUUGCCCAAGGCUUGCAUUUGUGCUCCCAUUACUGUGGGCUAAUCAAAGAUCAUAUUUGCCGAACUUAGAAAGUCUCCACAUUGUCAACUGCGGUGAUCUAAAGACGGUAUUCCCUGUUCAUCCUGUCCUCAAAGAAAAUGUACUUGAGUUCCCAAGGCUGAAGCACAUCCAUCUGUAUGAGCUCUAUGAGCUGCAGCAUAUAUGUGAGGUGAAGAUGCAUGCUCCCAAGCUCGAGAUGGUAUGGCUCAGGGGCUGUUGGGGUCUCAGGCGCCUCCCCGCCGUUGGCGGAGAUAGCCGUCGCCCCGUCGUGGACUGCGAGCAGGACUGGUGGGAGAAUCUGGAGUGGGACGGGCUGGAGGCUGGCCAUGACCCUUGCCUGUUCGAGCGACGCCACCCGUCGCACUACAAGGAGCUCCUGCCCAGAGUUUCUGUGCUUGGGUGA